rnacentral:lncRNA from 1 species
CAGUAACAGUGCUCCAAUAAUGCUUUGUUUACAGAAAGCAGGCAGUGGGCCAGAGUUGGACCUCUGACCCAAGAUAUAUCCUCAGCCAACUUCAGGUAAUCAGAGUUGAUGGGGCACACAAUGGCCACUUGCCUGUCUCUCAUUUCCCUUCUUUCAUAGGUGAGAGCCAUCUGCAGUCAGAUGGUGGAAAGGCCAAAGUCAAGGGAAAGAAAGUUGAGAAACCAUAGAUUUGCAUAAUUGACACUCUGCUCAAUCAGUUACUCAAUAGUUCAUGGUUGGCUGCAUUUUGGGGGAAAGCAUUUGUCUAGAAAAGCCCGUGAACUUGAUGCCACUGGGUGAAGGAGAAACUUAUAUCUGGAGAAAGUUUCCUUCCAUCCAUCUGCUUUAACUCAUAAACCUCUUUGACCAAAUGAAGGCAACAUGAUUUGUCUUCAGGGUUUGCACCAAGGCAGGUGCAUCUGAAGGCAGGUGUAUCUGAAUGGCCUGCACAGGAAUGUUGUUCUAAUUAGGGAAAUAAGAAAGACUAUUUCUGAAAGUUCUUGUUUGUCACCUUUAGUCGGGGUACUAUUUGAGAUAAUAAUGAACUCUGUCAAAACCAACAUGGGGUAAUGGAAAUCAGGUACAAGACUCAUCUGGAAAAGUCCUGGUGAUGAAUAUAUGUUGAGGGGAAAAAAAAGAGAGAGAGAGAGAGAGAGAGGAAAAGCAGAGUGGAAAUGGGAGGAUCCUGGUUACAUGAUCUGGUGGUUGUGCAAAAUUGUGCAAUAUUGGACAAGUUAUACAGUUGAAUAUAACACAUAUGCAGAAAACUUUGUGUUCAUUUUGCAAGCCCUUUUCUUAUCUCUCAUUCUCCAUGUCUCUUUAAAUGCAACACUGUCUCUGGUAGUAGGAGGAAAUGAAAUCAUGGUUUUGAUUUCAGUUGUCCUCAGUGUGUGGUGCCCUGGAGCGAGAGUGUUCCCACGGCUGUUUGAUGGUCCUCCUUUGUGACUGCCUCGCAGGGUCAGCAGCGCCGCUGCCUCCCUGACUCAGCAGGGAGUCCUCCUUUUUGUCCUGCUUUCAAACAGCUGCUCCUUGCACCCCGUGUAGAAUAGAAGUAUAUGCUCUGUCAUCCUAACACAUGCUUAUAGCCAGUAUCUUGGUGGAUUCUGAUGAAUACAACCACAGGCAAAAAGAAAACAGAACAGAAGAACCUCCUCUCCCUUAAGAGGCACCCGAGGAAAGAUGUUACAUUAGCCUAGUUUCUUUGGUUUUUUUUUUUGGGGGGGGGGGCUUUAUUUUUUAGGGCCGUGCCCAUGGCAUAUGGCGGUUCCCAGGCUAGGAGUCCAAUCAGCCUAUGCCGCAGCCACAGCCACAGCCAUGCCAGAUCCGAGCCCAUGGCUUCAACCUACACCAUACCUCAUGGCAACACCAGAUCUUUAACCCACUGAGAAAGGCCAGGGAUCAAACCUGCUUUCUCCUGGAUAAUAGUCAGAUUCAUUUCCAUUGAAUAAUGGACGGGAACUCCCUAUUAGCUUAGUUUCUAAUGAGGUCUUCUCUGCCUCUUCUGAGAAUGACUAAACACAGCAAAGAUGAGAUGUGAACCCCUCUACCUCUUCCGAAUCAGUUUCCCUAUAGCCUUAUAGCCACUUUAUAAUUAAUUGAAAAAUCUGUGUUUUUUAAGUUGCUGCCAGGUGGCUUAGCAGCAAUCAACACACAGGUGUCCCUGGAAGCGCAGCUCUGAUGUCCCGGAACCCUGAGACCACGCCCCCUGCAGGCUCCGCCCCCACCCGCCUCCCCAGAGGCAAGGCUCUUAGGGAGGCAGCCUAUCAUCUAAGUGUCCACUUGCAAGUCCUGUAGUGAUGGAAAGGAGUGGCUGUUUCAGCUUCGUUGGUGGAAAUGCAGAGAGAUUCAACAAGAAACAUGAACUUGACUUCUGAUCCUUCAUUAGUAAAACUGUUUUGUAGAUGAGCCUGAGGAGCUAAGAAUAUCCGGUCACCUCCUCAUCCUGGGAUUUGAGCCUCUUUUGGUCCUGAGUCCUGCCCACCUGUCCACUUUGUCUUCUCAUCCAGGGACUCUGCUCUGCAUUUCUUCCCUUUCUCAUCCCUACAUUUGCAUAUCCUUGGCAAUGUCCUCCUCAUCCUUCAAAACCCCGUUUAAAUAUUUCUUCCCUAGGAAGGUCCUAGCUCUCUUAAGAAGAGUUAUUUUCUCUGCUGUGCCUCCCCUUGUUGAGGAUAGAACACAUCAGCGUAUGAAAGCUACUGAUCCGGUUAUAUGUCAUUCUCUCCCCUUUCACCGUGAGUUCUUGAAGGUCAGCGUCUAUAUCGUCAUCUCUGAGGCCUGGCAUGUAGCAAAUGAUGAAUAAACAUCUGUGCAUAUGAGUCAGUCCACUGAAAAGCUAGAUGUCAUCUUAAAACAUUGUCCAAUGAUGUGCUGAUCUACAAAACAGCUCAGAACAAAAUCGAACACCGACAGAGCACAUCGCCUACGUGCAAGCUAAUCAGCUUCAAAUCCUACUACAAACCGAGAAAGUCAUUUGACGGCCUGACUUCCCUUGAAGCUCGGGAGCACCACAGACACCGCAUCUGGCUCCUCGAAUGGGUCUGUCGCUUCUUCCCCUCCCCAUCCUCUUUGGUUCGCAUUACCAAGGGAAGGCCCAGAAUGUGGUUAGUCUACCUGUUUUCACGUGGCUCUUUAUCCCAGGGCAAGUUGCUGGGUCAGAGUUGAGAAAGAGAGCAUGGGGAGUGGAUUUUCUGUAAAGACGGCAAGGUCAGAGGAACAGACUCACAGACAUGGAGAACAGACUUGUAGUUGCCAAAGGCGGGGGAGGGGAGUGGGAUGGACUUGGCGUUUGGGGUUGGCAGACACAAACUAUUACAUUUAGACUGGAUGAGCAAUGAGGUCCUGCUGCAUAGCACAGGGAACUAUAUCUAGUCUCUUGGCAUACACAAUGAUGAAGAUAAUAUAAGAAAGGGAAUGUGUAUAUGUGUAUGUAUGACUGGGUUACUUUUCUCUAUAGCAGAAAUUGGCACAACACUGUAAAUCAACUAUAAUUUAAUUUAAAAAAUGGAGAAAAAAGGCAGAGGAAAGUCAACCCAUAGGACAAGAAAAACCUGCAAUGCAGACAAAACAAGGCAGCUACCUGGCUCUUGAGGGCACAGUUGGCUUGUGUUCAAGGGCAAAGGUGCUUAGCAGAGUGACUUCAGGAGGCAGCUUUGCCCCCGGGAGGGCGGUAGCAAUCAUCACCUGAGUGCAUUUUCAGAUGUGACAUUUCCAGGAUCCUCCGCCAGCCCCAUAGAGCUCACUACCAACCACUGGCCGUGUCCUUCUUCAAGACAACAGGAAAAAGCUAGCCCCUGCCCCUCCUCGGUAGUCCCCAGAGUACAAAUGCACGGUGUUCUAAUGAUUCACUUGUGACUCUUUGCCUGGAGUUUGGAAUCUCUUUUUCCAUAGAAAUGAUACUAUAAAAGCUGGUUCGAUUUCCACCUGGUCCACUGAUCCUCAUCAGCCCAUCAUGUGCUUGAGGGGAAGAAUCAACCUUUCAGCUCCACCUAACCAAUCUCUACAGUACAGUUUCCUUAAGAGGGUGGAUCUGGGAUCCAAUACAGAUGCUCAUGCUCCUGACGGAAGGGCUUCUGGGUCCCUGGUCCCCAUAGGCUGCGCUCGGAGAGCUCCACUUCUGGGCAUCGGUUAACACUUCUUGUGACUGCCUUCACCUCCAGUUUUUCCCUGGAUGGAGGUGCACGUCCAGGGUCAGUUGGGAGGGGGAGAAAGGGCCUCGUCCCAGGGGUGGGUGAGGCUUUGCACUCCUUGGAAAGCAUUUUCUUGUAUGUGGGUCAUUGUUAUGUUGAGAAGGUGAAUGUUGGGGACUAGGAGGACUAGUUUAUGAGUGUAUGAGUCCGUGCAUGCCUGCAUCUGUGUGCACACAUGUAUGUGCGUGUGAACGUGUGCCUGCCCGUGUAUGUGCAUUGUGUAUGGGUGAGUGCACAUGCGCUUGCGUGUCUGGGCAGGGAGCCCGCGUGCGCUAGUAGGUAAAGAUGGAUCCAUCUGCUGGGUCUCUUCUGUGAGUCCAUCUCCAUCACUUCCCGGAAGCUUUGUUCAGCAGAUGCAUCGCCCUUGUUUUUUCUUGCUCACGCGCAGAAGGGUUGCAUCUUGGUUCCAAGUGUGGCCUUUCCCAUAGGGGUUUCAUCACAUAGUUUUAUUUUUGUGUAUCCGAGCCAAAAAAAAAAAAAAAUGGCUAAUCACCUUUUUUGGAGAAAAAUUUGAAUGUGAUGAUUAUAUUUGAUGACAUUUUACGUAUGGCCACUUUUAGGGCUCUUUGUAAAGCAGAAAGUGCUAGGAAAGAUAGUUCCAGGCAUAGAAAGAAAGAUGGCUUUAUGAUGUUUAUGAUCAGAUUGUGUACUUAUCUGAUGAUGGAUAUAAAUUCUCUACCCACUAAGAUACGUCUGGCUGAUAGUUCUAAAAUGCAGGCACAUGCUUUGGCUUUAAGAUGAAGCUUUAUGGUUUAAAAAACCUCUCCCCUCAGUGCCCCCAGAAGGCUUAAAACUAGCUUUCCCAUGGCAUUUGCUGUUUUGUCUCUGAUCCUGCCUCCCGUCAUUCGCAUGGUUCUAUCAGGAGAUGGGGGCUUUGAAGAGUCUGCCCUGUGAUUCUGAAAUUGGAUCUGACCUGUGACCUAGCUGGCCAUGGAUGUCACACUCCCUGUCAUCCUUUCCCUAUAUUUCAGAUGGUGAUGGCAGGGUGGGGGGAUGUUGCAAGUGCUUCUGACCUCAGAUCAGGACUCAUAUUUACCCAAAACAAUCAUAAGACUUUUUAGAAAAUUUUAAAAAACUAUAUUAAACUGGGGGACCGUUGCCCUGAAUGUCAUGCUUAUCUUAGGACCUCUCACUCUCCACAGUGCUGAUUGUCACCAUCAGUGGAGACAUGAGUCACCAGAAAGACAUGAAUUUCCUCUGGAUCAUUCACAGUGCUGAUGUUUCUAGAUCAGUUUCUGAGGCUAAAUAACAUUGCCAGGAAGUUGGUAAGGUUCAGGGAGUUCCCGUCGUGGCUCAGGGGUUAACGAAUCUGAAUAGGAACCAUGAGGUUGCAGGUUUGAUCCAUGGCCUUGCUCAGUGGGUUAAGGAUCUGGCGUUACCGUGAGCUGUGGUGUAGAUUGCAGAUGUGGCUCGGAUCCCGUGUUGCUGUGGCGUAGGCCGGAAACCACAGUGCUGAUUCAACCCCUAGCCUGGGAACCUCCAUA